rnacentral:miRNA from 1 species
ACCGCGAGCGAAAAGGGCGAGG